rnacentral:rRNA from 1 species
UACGUAGGGUGCAAGCGUUAAUCGGAAUUACUGGGCGUAAAGCGUGCGCAGGCGGUUGUGCAAGACAGAUGUGAAAUCCCCGGGCUUAACCUGGGAACUGCAUUUGUGACUGCACGGCUAGAGUGUGUCAGAGGGGGGGUAGAAUUCCACGUGUAGCAGUGAAAUGCGUAGAGAUGUGGAGGAAUACCGAUGGCGAAGGCAGCCCCCCUGGGAUAACACUGACGCUCAUGCACGAAAGCGUGGGGGAGCAAACAGG